CAGUCGCCACGGGAAUACGAAGGGGGCUAGCGUUGUUCGGAUUUACUGGGCGUAAAGGGCGCGUAGGCGGACUGAUAAGUCAGGGGUGAAAUCCCAAGGCUCAACCUUGGAACUGCCUUUGAUACUGUUUGUCUUGAGUUCGAGAGAGGUAAGUGGAACUGCGAGUGUAGAGGUGAAAUUCGUAGAUAUUCGCAAGAACACCAGUGGCGAAGGCGGCUUACUGGCUCGAUACUGACGCUGAGGCGCGAAAGCGUGGGGAGCAAACAGGAUUAGAGACCCCUGUAGUCCCUGUCUCUUAUAC
rnacentral:rRNA from 1 species